UGGGGAAUAUUGCACAAUGGGCGGAAGCCUGAUGCAGCGACGCCGCGUGAGGGAUGACGUCCUUCGGGUUGUAAACCUCUUUCAGUAGGGACGACGCGUAAGUGACGGUACCUGCAGAAGAAGCACCGGCUAACUCCGUGCCAGCAGCUGCGGUAAUACGUAGGGUGCAAGCGUUGUCCGGAAUUACUGGGCGUAAAGAGCUCGUAGGCCGUUUGUCACGUCGUCUGUGAAAUCCUAGGGCUUAACCCUGGACGUGCAGGCGAUACGGGCUGACUUGAGUAAUACAGGUGGGACUGGAAUUUCUGGUGGAGCGGUAGAAUGCACAGAUAUCAGGAAGAACACCGUUGGCGAAGGCAGGUCGCUGGGAAGUAACAGACGCUGAGGAGCGAAAGAAUGGGUAGCGAACAGG
rnacentral:rRNA from 1 species